UUUUGUUCAAACUCAUUGUAUUCUACUGAAUGUGUCAUCGAAAUGAUACAGGAUUCAUCAUAAUUGUCUGCUGUUUGUAUUGAACUUGCUAGAUAACCGACUCCAGCAUGGACCAAUCUCUAUUAUUCCAUCUUCUAGAGAAUCUUUGAUAACUGAUUGGUGGUUUCAUGUGUUUCUAAAUUGGCAUGACUGACUUUAUGAGAAGUUACAUCCUUUCAUGAAAAAGGACUUACAGUCAACAAGAUUCCUUGUUUGCUGACCCGCUGGCUACUAUGCUACCUUGCAGUCCUUGCUACCCUUGAAUCUCCCUAUUUGUCAACAGCAAAAAAAGAGUUUAAAUAUUGUGAUCAUGCUUUCAUAGUUGUGUUUACAUUGAAUUUAGAGAAGUUGUAAUACUAAUAGCAAUUUUAAUGAUUGUUUGGUUUCUUAUUUAGAUGUUGCCUAUUAAGACCAAAUAUCCCUCCAAAAUAAGGCAAUGACCACACGUUCAACGCGGAUCAUUCGUUCUGUCAUCGAACUUGACUCAUUCCAUCUUCUGGAUUGCUUAGGAAAGCUGAUUGGUGUUACCUGGCCAUUUAGGUAAUGACCAAGAAGAUGCGGCCAACAUGAACAUCAUUUAGACGGCCAGCAACAUUCGACUGCCCAACCGACUUCUACUACCCUGCUCUCAACACAGCACGGAGUUUUACCCUUUAGAUUUUUGGCUGUUCGCGAUGUGUGAUGGUGUUUCCUUGGACGAGAUGAUGAUUUUGGCGAGAAAAAUGUUGCGUUCUAACCUUCAGGUUCCUAAAUAUGAAAAGUAAUGUUCUUUCAAGAAAGUCAACGAGGUCCCUUACUCCCUUGUUUGCUAACCCAAUGGCUGCUACCCUUGAAUCUCCCUAUUUAGCUCCUUACACAGUCCCGAGGUAUUGCUUUUUGUCGCUACA